rnacentral:rRNA from 1 species
GGCGGACGGGUGAGUAAUGUCUGGGAAACUGCCUGAUGGAGGGGGAUAACUACUGGAAACGGUAGCUAAUACCGCAUAACGUCGCAAGACCAAAGUGGGGGACCUUCGGGCCUCAUGCCAUCAGAUGUGCCCAGAUGGGAUUAGCUAGUAGGUGGGGUAACGGCUCACCUAGGCGACGAUCCCUAGCUGGUCUGAGAGGAUGACCAGCCACACUGGAACUGAGACACGGUCCAGACUCCUACGGGAGGCAGCAGUGGGGAAUAUUGCACAAUGGGCGCAAGCCUGAUGCAGCCAUGCCGCGUGUGUGAAGAAGGCCUUCGGGUUGUAAAGCACUUUCAGCGGGGAGGAAGGCGGUGAGGUUAAUAACCUCAUCGAUUGACGUUACCCGCAGAAGAAGCACCGGCUAACUCCGUGCCAGCAGCCGCGGUAAUACGGAGGGUGCAAGCGUUAAUCGGAAUUACUGGGCGUAAAGCGCACGCAGGCGGUCUGUCAAGUCGGAUGUGAAAUCCCCGGGCUCAACCUGGGAACUGCAUUCGAAACUGGCAGGCUAGAGUCUUGUAGAGGGGGGUAGAAUUCCAGGUGUAGCGGUGAAAUGCGUAGAGAUCUGGAGGAAUACCGGUGGCGAAGGCGGCCCCCUGGACAAAGACUGACGCUCAGGUGCGAAAGCGUGGGGAGCAAACAGGAUUAGAUACCCUGGUAGUCCACGCCGUAAACGAUGUCGAUUUGGAGGUUGUGCCCUUGAGGCGUGGCUUCCGGAGCUAACGCGUUAAAUCGACCGCCUGGGGAGUACGGCCGCAAGGUUAAAACUCAAAUGAAUUGACGGGGGCCCGCACAAGCGGUGGAGCAUGUGGUUUAAUUCGAUGCAACGCGAAGAACCUUACCUGGUCUUGACAUCCACAGAACUUAGCAGAGAUGCUUUGGUGCCUUCGGGAACUGUGAGACAGGUGCUGCAUGGCUGUCGUCAGCUCGUGUUGUGAAAUGUUGGGUUAAGUCCCGCAACGAGCGCAACCCUUAUCCUUUGUUGCCAGCGGU